rnacentral:lncRNA from 1 species
GGCCUGGUCAGAAGAGGAGCGUUACUGGGGGUGUGACCUGACAGAAUGCAUCUCCCUCCCUGGCUCCACCCUUUGUUCUGCUUCCUGACCAACUUGCCUUGAGCAGUUUUCCUGCAAAGCGUGCCUUUCCACCAUGCCAUCCUGCCUUGGAGCCAGCUGACCAUGGACAGUAACCAUGAGCAAAAUAAUCCCCUCCUCCUUUAAAUAGUGGGUGUUGGGUAUUGUGUCCUAGCAACGAGAACAUUUACUAAGACACUGGCUGAUCCUUUUGGUUUCAUCACAAUCAAUUCUGUAGUUUCUUGUUGAGGAAGGUCUAUUUGUGUUGAAUUUGGACUUAGGGCAUUGCCCUUACCCUGGCAUGUGGAUUUAGGGUGAUCUCAAGAGAAGACUUAAGGAGCCAAUGUGGACUUUUUAUUCUAGCUGGUCUGGAACUGAACAUCUCCCAACAAAUGUUCAGGAAACAAUCACAUACGAACUUGGUGAGGAAUGGCUGAAUAUCAAUAUCAAUGGAAGGUUUUGUUGUCAGUCGUGUUUCAUAAAGAGGAGAAUUGAAUAUGGCUAUGAAGAGGGAAGCUUAAACGACAAAGCAGAAAAAAAGGACCAAAGACUCAAAUAAAAAUGCUUUGAAACUUAAGGAAGGAAUAAUAAUGUGUUUGUUUUGCCAGAGAACAAGCCAAUCUUGUAUUUAUUUUUCUAUGUGCCUAGUACUGUACUGGAAAGAAUGGGAGGGAACAUAAAAUAUGGUUUCUGUUUCCAGAAGUUAUAAGCAAAAGAAGAACCAGAGCUCACCCAUCUGAAAUAACAAAGAACAAAUUUGCACCAAUCAUGUGAAGGACACUGAAGAUACUUCACAGAACCUGGAGAAACAGCUUCCAGUAAAGUUGUGAAUGUAAUGAUGGGAAGCAGCAAAAUUAAACCGAGUUUGGAUUAGAAGGGUGAACAGAAAGCUGUUCCCA